ACACGUAGGGGGCGAGCGUUGUUCGGAAUCAUUGGGCGUAAAGGGCGUGCAGGCGGUCGUGCAAGUCCGGCGUGAAAGACCCCGGCCCAACCGGGGGGACGCGCUGGAAACUGCAGGGCUUGAGUACAGGAGGGGAUGCCGGAAUUCCAGGUGUAGGGGGGAAAUCUGUAGAUAUCUGGAAGAUCACCAAUGGCGAAGGCAGGCAUCUGGCCAUGUACUGACGCUGAGACGCGAAGGUGCGGGGAGCAAACAGGUUUAGAUACCCUGGUAGUCCGCACAGUAAACGAUGUGCACCAGGUGGCGGGGGGUCGACCCCCGGUGCCGUAGCUAACGCAUUAAGUGCACCGCCUGGGGAGUAUGCUCGCAAGGGUGAAACUCAAAGGAAUUGACGGGG
rnacentral:rRNA from 1 species